ACUAUCAUAAACUCAACCAUUUUUCUUUAUCAAAAAAAACAAAAAGGAGUCUGCUUACCACAAGAAAGGAUCGAUGGUUCGAAAACUUGACGUCAACAAUCCUGCAAGAGAAUUUUUCUGAUGAAGUAAACCACCAUAAUUUAUUGGAAGAAGUCUGAUUUGUGUUGGCCGACUCAAGAAAUGCUCUCUAUCUAUAGUAAGCUCCAUGAGCGUAUAAUGAAUGAACUCCCACUCUUCCACUUGCCUCUGAGUUUUACAAUUCAUUUUCAUACGCUUCAUUAGUCUCUAAUUGUUUUAGGCCCAUCAGCAAAAAUAUAUACAAACAAGCCUGCAACUUCUUCUUUUUCUUGGCAACUAUAAGCCGGAUCAUUUAUGGGAUUAGCAUAUUAAAGUCUGUGCUUUUGUAGAUAUAGGAACAUCUCAUGUUUCUUACAAAUUUAGGUACUUUUAUAUUAUAUGGAUGACUGUUUUAUCCUUCAAUCUAAUUGAGUUUCUUCUCCUUGUACCUUCAAUCUAAUUGAGGAGAAUUCAUCAAUAUCAAUCGAUCUCAGAAAUGUGCGAUUAUUUCUCUCUCUUUCUCUUUCUCUAAUGGCAUGGAAUCUAUUGCCUCUAAACUCACCAUUGAUGUCCAUUGCUUCUCCAUCACCUUACAAAAUUCAGAUCUAUGCUUGGCCAAUCUUCUUCCUCGACGAUGCAGGUUAGGAAUCGAUCCAAUAUGAGGCUCUGCAAAAACAAUUCAGAGAAGAUUCUGCAAAAACAAUUUAGGAGAAGAAGGAGUGAAAUCGCAGGGGCAAUUUGGUCAAUUCAUUUCCCAAAAACUGCCUAUCUUCAUAAGCCCAAUCAUAAUGUGCUCUUUCUCUAAUUUAUGGCCCAAAAUGUACCCAAUAUUAUAAAAGCCCCAGUAUAAGCCCCCAAUUUCUGAAAGUUUUUAAAUUUGCUUUUAUUUCCUAAAACUUGUCUAUAAAAAAAAUUUCCUGUAAAACUUUUUUAGUUUGGGACCCUAAAUUUUAAAACCGGCCCUAUACAAAACCUUGAGAUAUCUAUCUCGUUGGAUUAUACUGUAUCUUUAAGAAUGUUGAGUGACAUUUCAUGUUCAUACAUACGUUUGAAGGUUUUCAUCGAAGUGGCUCUCACUUAGGAUCGAAACCUUGUUUACCCU
rnacentral:sRNA from 1 species